AUACGUAGGGGGCGAGCGUUGUCCGGAAUGAUUGGGCGUAAAGGGCGCGUAGGCGGCCCGGUAAGUCUGGAGUGAAAGUCCUGUUUUUAAGAUGGGAAUUGCUUUGGAUACUGUCGGGCUUGAGUGCAGGAGAGGUAAGUGGAAUUCCCAGUGUAGCGGUGAAAUGCGUAGAGAUUGGGAGGAACACCAGUGGCGAAGGCGACUUACUGGACUGUAACUGACGCUGAGGCGCGAAAGUGUGGGGAGCAAACAGUAUUAGAUACCCUGGUAGUCCACACUGUAAACGAUGAAUGCUAGGUGUAGGGGGUAUCGACUCCCUCUGUGCCGCAGUUAACACAAUAAGUAUUCCGCCUGGGGAGUACGGCCGCAAGGUUGAAACUCAAAUGAAUUGACGGGG
rnacentral:rRNA from 1 species